GAUGAACGCUGGCGGCGUGCCUAACACAUGCAAGUCGAACGGAAGAUUAUCGCUGAUGAAGCUUCGGCAGAAUCUUGAUGAUCUUUAGUGGCGGACGGGUGAGUAACGCGUGGGCAACCUGCCUCGUACUGGGGGAUAACAGCUGGAAACGACUGUUAAUACCGCAUAAGCGCACGGUGUCGCAUGACACAGUGUGAAAAACUCCGGUGGUACGAGAUGGGCCCGCGUCAGAUUAGCCAGUUGGUGGGGUAACGGCCUACCAAAGCAACGAUCUGUAGCCGGACUGAGAGGUCGGACGGCCACAUUGGGACUGAGACACGGCCCAAACUCCUACGGGAGGCAGCAGUGGGGGAUAUUGCACAAUGGGCGAAAGCCUGAUGCAGCGACGCCGCGUGAGUGAAGAAGUAUUUCGGUAUGUAAAGCUCUAUCAGCAGGGAAGAAAGACCCAUAAGGAGAUGACGUAC
rnacentral:rRNA from 1 species